rnacentral:misc_RNA from 1 species
AACCUAGCACACCUGCGGUGUGUACCUGCGGAGGGAUCAUUACAGAGUUGCAAAACUCCCUAAACCAUUGUGAACGUUACCUAAACCGUUGCUUCGGCGGGCGGCGCGCCCUCGCGCGCGCCCCUGGGCCCCACCGCGGGCGCCCGCCGGAGGUCACCAAACUCUUGAUAUUAAUUGGCCUCUCUGAGUCUUCUGUACUGAAUAAGUCAAAACUUUCAACAAUGGAUCUCAGAUCGGAAG